CCCCUCCAUGCUGCCUGUGGGAUGCACGCAUGCUACCCUCCCCCAGCAGUGGUACCAAGCCUCGGGCAGCAGCAGGCAGGGGUAUGCUGGCCCGAGUUCACGGCCGAGUUCUGAAGACAGAAGGUAAAUGACCUGCUUAAGGUCAACACUGGUGGUGCCUGAGCCGGGACUGACACCUGUGGUUUCUGACCUCCAAGACAUGGCUCACGCCCCUUCCUUGUGACACUUUUCUGAGUGGACUGAGGAUGCCCUGGCCAGCUACUUUUGGAGGAGACUGGAAUGUCUGAGAGCCAGAUUUCCUAGCUGCAAAUGGGUACUAAAAAGUCCCAACAGAAAGAUGGAGGGAAAAAGGUGACUCCAACUGCAAUGCCAAAGAAUAAAGUGCCACCACUUUUGUCCACCAAUCC